rnacentral:rRNA from 1 species
GACAGAGGGUGCAAACGUUGUUCGGAAUUACUGGGCGUAAAGCGCGUGUAGGCGGCUAAGUAAGUCGGGCGUGAAAUCCCACGGCUCAACCGUGGAAGUGCACUCGAAACUGCAUAGCUAGAGUCCUGGAGAGGAAGGUGGAAUGCUUGGUGUAGAGGUGAAAUGCGCAGAUAUCGGGAAGAACACCCGUGGCGAAGGCGGCUCUCUGGAACGCAACUGACGCUGAGGCGCGACAGCGUGGGGAGCAAACAGG